AUGAACGCUGGCGGCUUGCCUAAUACAUGCAAGUCGAGCGAACAGACGAGGAGCUUGCUCCUCUGACGUUAGCGGCGGACGGGUGAGUAACACGUGGAUAACCUACCUAUAAGACUGGGAUAACUUCGGGAAACCGGAGCUAAUACCGGAUAAUAUAUUGAACCGCAUGGUUCAAUAGUGAAAGACGGUUUUGCUGUCACUUAUAGAUGGAUCCGCGCCGCAUUAGCUAGUUGGUAAGGUAACGGCUUACCAAGGCGACGAUGCGUAGCCGACCUGAGAGGGUGAUCGGCCACACUGGAACUGAGACACGGUCCAGACUCCUACGGGAGGCAGCAGUAGGGAAUCUUCCGCAAUGGGCGAAAGCCUGACGGAGCAACGCCGCGUGAGUGAUGAAGGUCUUCGGAUCGUAAAACUCUGUUAUUAGGGAAGAACAAAUGUGUAAGUAACUAUGCACGUCUUGACGGUACCUAAUCAGAAAGCCACGGCUAACUACGUG
rnacentral:rRNA from 1 species